ACUCUUGGAAGAAGCCUUGUGGCAACUGGGGGAGUCUGCAGAACUUCCCUUUCCUGCAAGAUGAUCCUCACCCUGAUCUCCUCGGUCUUCCAGCUCCUACGACACCUCCAUCGGUUAUACCUGGGAACCAAGCUCCUGCAGCAUCAACCUGUGGAACUUCUCUGCUGCAGGAUGUUAUAAGCAACUAACUUGGGAUUCGAAGGUGGUCUUAUCUGAAGGGCAAUGACAUCAGCUAAAUUUAAGUGCUGUUCAUCCUCUGACUCCGAAGUCAAGGCUAAUUACUAGCUUACUGAAAAUCCAGCAGGAACUCCUCCCUGUCCCCAUAAUAUUGCACAAUAAGAUCCAGCUUUGUGGGCUCUAUUACUCAUUCCGAUUAUUGUUGCUGUACAAAGAUUUGUCUGAGCAAAGAUGGAUCAAGAGCCAGUGUAUCCUGUACUCAGCCUUCAGGAGGAGAGGAA